ensembl:misc_RNA 7SK 7SK RNA
AAUGUGAGAGAGAAUUGUCCUCAACUUUUGUCACCCCAAUGUUCUCCAUGGUGGAACUGGAUGACCUGAUGGGCCACACUGGUGUCAUCUUUCUCACAGUUU